UUUUUUUUUUUUACAGUCCAGUUGCUCUUUCCCUCCUUGUCUACCCACUGACAUUUUCUCCUCCCCUGUCUCCAAGAAAAUGUCUCCAUUCCUUCUACCCCACCAACACUACCCACUUCCUGGGGUCUCAUUGAGGCCAGAUCAGGCAGUCCUCUGCUGUAUAUGUUUCAGGGGCCUUUUAUCAUCUAGUGUAUGUUGCCUGGUUGGUGGCUUAGUGUCCUGGAGCUAUCAGGCUUUAUAUCCUCCUUAAAGGCCUAUAUUAUACUCAUUUAAAGGGAAUUUAGGUCAUCAUCUUGCUUUUCAUGCCUGUUGGGAUAUCCAGGUCUUUCUGUGGUGGGAGAACUGGUUUAUACUGGUGCCAGAUUUCAUUGGAUUCUGUUGAUUAUGAUUCUGUGCUUGCCUCUGGCCAUAUGGUUAUAUGGUUAACUCUGGUGUUAACUGAACUGGCCAUCUCUGACUACAGUCAGUCUUCAUGGAGGCAGAUAGAGCCCUUUUCCAUGGCAGCAGGCAGUACUGUCUCUGGUUAGAAUUAACCUCUUGUGUCUCUGGUUAGAGUAGGUCUCCUGUUUCCCUGGUUACUGGGAACCUCAAGGGAAACAGGCAGGCUGUGUCCUUGGGUACUUUGAGCCUCCUGGGAGGCAGAUAGGCUGUGAGAUGUGGAAGGGUAUCAGGCCCAUUGAUCUGGUCCAAGUCAUGCAAAAGACCAGUAGAAAGGUAGAGCUGGACAGGGUGGGUGGGUCUCGUGCCACUUUGUCUCUGUGUCUUUGCUUAGUUCAAACCUUCUAGGAGACAAGUAGACUGUGGUUUGUGAGUGGGUAUCUGGCUGCUGAACUGGCCUGUGUCUUUCAUUACUGAGGACUUUCUUGGAAGCACACAGUCUAUAGGUGUGGGUGGGUGAUUUUCUGAGAUUUGUUUUUAAUUUCACCCAAGUAAUUACUGAAGAGACACAGGAUUCCUGUCCUUAUCUCUGUGCAUCAAAUCUUGCACUUUCCUGUCCCUGUGCAGAGCCAAAGCAGUUAGUAUCCACUUCCCCCAACCCCCCUUUUCUCAAGCAUAGAUGCCUCCUGCCUUUGGAGAGGGCAAACAGGAGCCCAGUCUGGUGCCCAAAUAGUGCAGUCCCUUUUUAGUGACAGUACCCCCUCCCCUGAUUAACCACCAGCAUUUGUCUGGUGCAGAUGGCUCCUCCCAUUGAGGAAGCAGGAACCAAUAUCCUUCAAAUGAUAAGAGCCCACUCUUGGACUAUGGGAAAGAGAUCAGGAAGGUUCAUUUCCAGAUGUGCAUUAUAGCUUCCACUGUCUGAAGAAAGUUAUCAGGUUUGAAGGACAGCACUCCUUAACCCCAACUCCAGUCAGGGAUGCCAUGGAUCAGGGAAGCCCAGACCCUUUCAGAAACUCAAGUACUUACAAAAUCCUAUUAAGAGCCAUUAUGCAACUUGGCUGCAGAUUGGAAUUUCCAGAGCAUGAUGCCAUGACAAACACAGGGGAUGUGCAAACAUCGUGAACACAGUAGUGCUCUGUAUGUGUCUUGAACUCAUAAGAUACAAUCUAACUGCAAAGGUCAACCCUGUCUUCAAAGAAGAGCUUAGUUUCCUCCUCAUGCAUAUAGCCCCUCCUUCCUUACUCUUCUUCCUCCUUGCUUGGGAAAGGUCUCUUGUCUGUAAGAAAAACAUACUUGCUUAAUGUGAGCUCUUCUCAGGUUC